UAGGGAAUCUUCCGCAAUGGACGAAAGUCUGACGGAGCAACGCCGCGUGAGUGAAGAAGGAUUUCGGUUCGUAAAACUCUGUUGUUAGGGAAGAAAAAAUGUAUAGUAACUAUAUACAAAAGAGACGGUACCUAACCAGAAAGCCACGGCUAACUACGUGCCAGCAGCCGCGGUAAUACGUAGGUGGCAAGCGUUGUCCGGAAUUAUUGGGCGUAAAGCGCGCGCAGGUGGUUUAGAAAGUCUGAUGUGAAAGCCCACGGCUCAACCGUGGAGGGUCAUUGGAAACUAAUAAACUUGAGUGCAGGAGAGAAAAGUGGAAUUCCUAGUGUAGCAGUGAAAUGCGUAGAGAUUAGGAGGAACACCGGUGGCGAAAGCGGCUUUUUGGCCUGCAACUGACACUGAGGCGCGAAAGCGUGGGGAGCAAACAGG
rnacentral:rRNA from 1 species